GUGCUCGCUUCGGCAGCACAUAUACUAAAAUUGGAAUGAUAACAGAGAUAGCUUGGCCCCUGUGCAAGGAUGACACACAAAUUCAUGAAGUGUUCCAUAUUUUU